AGGCAAUCAGCUGCUGGAGUUGCCAUUAUGAACAAGACCUGAUUAGGGCAGGGAGAUGAUUUUUAAUUUUGGAUCAUGUAUUAAUCAUGUUCUGUGAUGAAGACAGCCUAUAUUGAUGGGUGUUUGAGUUGUGAAUGUCAGUUAAGCCAAUGAGCAUUCAAUUUGCACGUAGGGUACUGUUCUACAUAUACAUGUGCAAUCUUCACUGACAUCAUUAAGUCAGCUCGAGAAUUGAAACCCAGGCCAUCGGGUGUAGUUGUGUGUGUGUCAAGUUACAGGUGUCAGCAGCUAAGAGUCCACAUAGAGGCAAGAUCAAGUAUUGUUUGAUUAGUGCUAUUCCUGAUGUGAGGAUAUGGGCUGCUAGUUUUGAAUGUCAGUAUGGCUAUGUGGUUUUUUAGUAAUAUUUAGUUUUGAAAAAAUCAAUUAUUGGUUCCCCUUUCAAUGUAAUUUCUGUGAAUUCUGCACUGCUCUG
rnacentral:lncRNA from 1 species